rnacentral:sRNA from 1 species
GGGGCUGACUGAGAGCGUCUGCUUGCUCUUAUUUUAGCCUUAAAAACUCUUCAGGAAAAAAUUCAUCGUUUAGAGCUGGAGAGAACACAAGCUGAAGAUAACCUGAACAUUCUUUCCAGAGAAGCAGCACAGUAUAAGAAGGCCUUAGAGAAUGAAACAAAUGAGAGAAAUCUGGCACACCAGGAGCUGAUAAAGCAGAAAAAAGAUAUAAGUAUACAGUUAAGCUCAGCCCAGUCUCGUUGUACUCUUCUAGAGAAGCAACUAGAAUAUACAAAGAGAAUGGUUCUCAAUGUAGAGCGAGAAAAGAACAUGAUCCUAGAACAACAGGCCCAGCUUCAGAGGGAAAAAGAACAAGAUCAGAUGAAGCUGUAUGCAAAACUUGAAAAGCUUGAUGUCUUAGAAAAAGAGUGUUUUAGACUUACAACAACUCAGAAAACUGCUGAGGACAAGAUUAAACAUUUAGAAGAAAAACUUAAGGAAGAAGAACAUCAACGUAAGCUAUUUCAAGACAAAGCUUCUGAGCUUCAAACUGGACUUGAAAUCAGUAAAAUUAUAAUGUCUUCAGUUUCAAAUCUAAAGCACUUCAAGGAAAGGAAGAAAUCUUCAAAGAAAACUAAAUGUAUAAAGAGAGGACCACCUUGGCAAAUUUGUUCAAAGUUUGGAGCACUGCCUUUUGUGGCUGAAAAGAUGAGGCAACAUCGUGACCCACAUAUCCUUCAGAAACCUUUUAACGUGACUGAGACUAGAUGUCUCCCCAAGCCUUCUAGAACAACUUCCUGGUGUAAGGCUAUUCCUCCUGACUCAGAAAAGUCCAUUUCCAUUUGUGACAAUUUAUCUGAACUUUUGAUGGCAAUGCAAGAUGAGC